rnacentral:rRNA from 1 species
CAUUAACGAGAAGUUAUGGAUAAUUGAAGAUGACUGGAAAGUCAAGCCAUAGAGUGUAAUAGCCACGUAAGUGAAAUUCAUAAUAAUCAAGUUCUGAUCCAGAGUACCACGAGACACGUGAAACCUUGUGGGAAGCAGGGAGGACCACCUCCCAAGGCUAAAUACUACCUGAUGACCGAUAGUGAAGCAGUACCGUGAGGGAAAGGUGAAAAGAACCCCGGGAGGGGAGUGAAAUAGAACCUGAAACCGUGUGCCUACAACCGGUCAAAGCCCCUUAUGAGGGUGAUGACGUGCUUUUUGUAGAACGAGCCAACGAGUUACGGUAUGUAGCAAGGUUAAGUACUUAAGGUACGGAGCCGAAGGGAAACCGAGUCUUAAUAGGGCGACUAGUUGCAUGCCGUAGACCCGAAACCGGGUGACCUAUCCAUGGCCAGGUUGAAGCGGGGGUAAAACCCCGUGGAGGACCGAACCACGUUGCUGUUGAAAAAGCAUGGGAUGAGCUGUGGAUAGCGGAGAAAUUCCAAUCGAACUCGGAGAUAGCUGGUUCUCCUCGAAAUAGCUUUAGGGCUAGCGUCGGAUAUGAGUAGUGGAGGUAGAGCACUGAAUGGGCUAGGGGGCAUAGCGCUUACCGAACCUUAUCAAACUCCGAAUGCCACAUACUAUUAGUCCGGCAGUCAGACUGCGAAAGAUAAGUUCCGUAGUCAAAAGGGAAACAGCCCAGAUCGUCAGCUAAGGUCCCAAAGUGUAAGUUAAGUGGAAAAGGAUGUGGGAUUUCUAAGACAACUAGGAUGUUGGCUUAGAAGCAGCCACUCAUUAAAAGAGUGCGUAAUAGCUCACUAGUCGAGAGAUCCUGCGCCGAAGAUGUCCGGGGCUCAAACUUACCACCGAAGCUACGGGUUCACACUUAUGUGUGAGCGGUAGAGGAGCGUCGUAAUCGGGCUGAAGUCGUACCGUAAGGAGCGGUGGACUGAUUACGAGUGAGAAUGUUGGCAUUAGUAGCGAGAUGUGGGUGAGAAUCCCACAGGCCGAAUAUCUAAGGUUUCCUCAGGAAGGUUCGUCCGCUGAGGGUUAGUCGGGACCUAAGCCGAGGCCGAAAGGCGUAGGCGAUGGACAAUCGGUUGAUAUUCCGAUACCACUACUGAUCGUUAUUAUCGAUGGUGUGACGGAGAAGGAUAGAGUGUGCUAGCUAUUGGAUGCUAGUCUAAGCGUUUAGGGAGUUAGGAAAGGCAAAUCCGUCCUAACAAUUCUGAGGCGUGAUGGGGAAGGUUCUACGGAACCGAAGUACUUGAUUCCAUGCUUCCAAGAAAAGCAUCUAGAGAGAGAUGUAGUGCCCGUACCGCAAACCGACACAGGUAGAUGAGGAGAGAAUCCUAAGGCCGGCGGAAGAAUCACAGUUAAGGAACUAGGCAAAUUGACCCCGUAACUUAGGGAGAAGGGGUGCCUGUGAGAGCAGGCCGCAGAGAAUAGGCCCAAGCAACUGUUUAGCAAAAACACAGGUCUCUGCUAAAGCGAAAGCUGAUGUAUAGGGGCUGACGCCUGCCCGGUGCUGGAAGGUUAAGGGGAACACUUAGCGCAAGCGAAGGUGUGAACUUAAGCCCCAGUAAACGGCGGCCGUAACUAUAACGGUCCUAAGGUAGCGAAAUUCCUUGUCAGGUAAGUUCUGACCCGCACGAAUGGCGUAAUGACUUGGGCACUGUCUCAACUGUGAAUCCGGCGAAGUUGUAGUGCGAGUGAAGAUGCUCGCUACCCGCGAUUGGACGGAAAGACCCCGUAGAGCUUUACUGUAGCUUAGCAUUGAAUUUCGGUAUUGUCUGUACAGGAUAGGUGGGAGACUGGGAAAUCAGGGCGUCAGCCUUGAUGGAGUCGUCCUUGGGAUACCACCCUGACAGUACUGAGGUUCUAACUGGAUGCCAUGAAUCUGGUGACAGGACAUUGUUAGGUGGGCAGUUUGACUGGGGCGGUCGCCUCCUAAAAAGUAACGGAGGCGCCCAAAGGUUCCCUCAGAACGGUCGGAAAUCGUUCGAAGAGUGCAAAGGCAGAAGGGAGCCUGACUGCGACACCCACAAGUGGAGCAGGGACGAAAGUCGGGCUUAGUGAUCCGGUGGUACCUCGUGGGAGGGCCAUCGCUCAACGGAUAAAAGCUACCUCGGGGAUAACAGGCUGAUCUCCCCCAAGAGUCCACAUCGACGGGGAGGUUUGGCACCUCGAUGUCGGCUCGUCGCAUCCUGGGGCUGAAGUAGGUCCCAAGGGUUGGGCUGUUC